GAGAGAUAUGAGCAUGCUGCAGAAGAACAAAUAAGAGGGAGAAAAAAUGACUUUCACCUUCAAAUCUCAAGCCCCAGGUGGAGGGAGCUUUACACAGAUUCUUCAGAUUCAUCUUCCACAGAUGAGAGUCAUUGGAUUCAGGCAAAAAGAAGAGCCCAGGUUAAAUUCAGACUGUCAAGAAGAAGGAGGAGAAAUAAUAAUAAGCCAUGUGAAAACUUAGCUGGGUCUUCCACUCCUAACGGAAUUGAGCUCGUUGAUCUGGGAUCCAAAGGUAAAGAGCAACAAGAGCUGAUUGAAUGUGAGAGUUGCUCUUUAAAUCUCCACAGAGGAAAACAUACAAGGCACCAAGAAUGCAACCCUUCUCUGACUCAAGGACCCUCUGAAAUUAAGAGAUCCUCAAGGAAUCAUGAGAAGAGCAAAGGUAGAUAUCACCACAGAGAUCCUCGGCUCUUGCAAAGUCUUAGGAAAAAUGAAAUAAUGAAGAAGACAUUUUCAGAAACAGAUUCCAGCACUGAAAUACUGGGAGUUCCAGAAGGCAGCAAGGACAUGAAUGAUGCAGGGCUCCAGGUGAAUAACCCUGUUCAGAAGCCUCCUGCCACCUAUGACGAUGGGUCUGAUAAUUUAGAAGUAUGCAGAAUCUGUCACUGCGAAGGGGAUGAAGAGAGCCCCCUCAUCACACCCUGUCGCUGCACUGGGACACUGCGCUUUGUCCACCAGUCCUGCCUCCACCAGUGGAUAAAGAGCUCAGAUACACGCUGCUGUGAGCUCUGCAAGUAUGACUUCAUAAUGGAGACCAAGCUCAAACCCCUCCGGAAGGUACAGUAUCCAUAGGAAUUGGUUUGGGAGGGACCAUUUGCAAAGCAGACUUGUUUUAGAAAUCUAUUUCCUUUGCCAAUAAGAUUCUCCUAAUAUGCUAAUAUCCAUUAAGGGUAUGUGUCUUGUGUUGAGCUCAGUGCACAAAAUUCAUCUAAGUGUUUGCAGAUAAUCCUUCCUUUCUUCUAUGUUUUAUAUUCUAGAGCUUCUGAUUGGUAUAUUACUUUCAAUGCUUUUCUAAAAGUCAGUGUGUGCACGUAAUAGAUAUAAACAUAUAUAUGUAUAUGCAUGCAAAAUGCACUUGUAAUUCAAUGUAAUUGAAUUGAUGAGAACUGUGAUAGCAUUGUGCUUACGGAAGCCAGUUCUCAAGGUUACAUGAUACAUUGCCUUAAACAACAUCAACUCAUCAAAUUUCUUACAAGUUAUUUAUUAGGUAAUAGAAGAGAAGGAUUUCUUCUAUAAAGUGUGUACUAUUUAUGUUUGCUUUUAUUUGGGAAUUGGUUUAAUGGCUCAUGUGUAAUUAGAGUAGGUAGAAAUAAAAAGUACUAUUUUCCAUAUUGUGCAUCAGGCUGUAAGAGAGAGGUAAGUGUAUUUUGUAUCUGUAAUGUUUGUCUUCAAAUUCCUCAUUUAUGUUAUAUUUUUCUGAAGAAGAAAGGUAAGACUGUGAGUCAGAUACAAAGUUAGUGUCUCACUCAAAGCCACCGAAGAACAGCUUGUAAACAAUACAAACAAGGACAAUGAACUUAUACAAUUCAUGUUUGAUAGCUGGACUUCUGGAUUUUAGCAUGUAACUUAUUUAUCUUUUUGCCUAACUGUAGCCUUACAUAUAUGGCUGCCUCAGUUUCCAAGGGAGAGUAUGAAGACCACAGUUUAAAUAAUGAAUCAUCCCAGAGUUGCUCUUUUUAUUUAAAUUGAAUGCAAAGCAAAAGUUAUAGGACAUUGCCUGGAAAGAAACACAACGAGUUCCAGAAUGAGCAGAGUUGAAAUGCAAAUAAGAAUAUUCUAGCACAUAUCUGAUUGCUGGCUGACCAUUGCAAUUCUUCAUUAAUUCUGUAAAUUGUGGAGAGAGAGAAUCACAUUCCUUGCUUUUGUGGUAGCCUCAAUUUUUAAAAUCUGCAAAUGGUUUAUAGCUAUCAAAAAUAAUGCAUAAAAUUCCUUUAGGAUAUGUGUGGUUUUUUUUUAACAAUGGGGUAACCUGAGUGCUGCAGGGUAACCCUGUUUUUCUAGGGCCCAGAGGUGUCAAUGCCAGAAAUAGAAAUGGACCCUGAUUCCUUGUCCUUUGCUUCAUCCGCUGGACAGAUGCUGAGCAUUGUCUGCAGUAGUUAAAUGGCACAUUGUACUCCACGAUUUUCCAAAUGUUUUUUCUUAGUUCUCAGGGAACUACAAAUUAUUUCAUAGAGUCUAUAUAUUUCUUCAUUUUUUUUCUCAUGCUAAAUUUACAUAAAAUUUUCAUUUCAACUUUGUCAAAUACAGUAUUUUAAUUUGAGGGCCACGAUCUAGGAUAAUAACAUAUUCUAAUUUUCUCUUCUUUACCGUAUCUAUCACCACUACUCAUUUUUGUUUAAUUAAAAAACAUGAUGCUGAGAAGAAACUUGAAAAGUCUUUUUAUUCCACCGCCAGCUUUUGUAGUAUCUAGUAUACCCUGUCAAUACAACUUUCAUCCUUUGUUAAUAUUCCAUUCUCAAUAAUUUACAACUCUCUUAGGAAAUCUUAUUUUUUUCCUCAACAAACACACUUAUAAACCAGAGAAAGGCAGCAAAUAUGUCUAUCUUUUUAAAUAUUCAUGAUAAUGGACCAGGCACAGUGGCUUAAUACCUGGCAUCUCAGCACUUUGAGAGGCUGAGGCAGGAGUAACCCUUGAGCCCAGGAGUUUGAGACCAACCUGGGCAACAAAGUGAAAUCUUGUCUCUACAAAAAAGUUAAAAAAAAAAAAAAUUUAACCUGGCAUGGUAGCACACACCUGUAGUUCCAGCUACUCAAGAGGCUGAGGAAGGAGGAUCCUUUGAGCCUAGGAUUUCAAGGUUCCGGUGAGCUUUGAUUGCACCACUGCAGUCAAGCCUGAGUGACAGAGCCAUACUUUGUCUCCAAAGAAAAAAAAAAAAAAAAA
rnacentral:sRNA from 1 species